UCCCUCAGUGUCCUUGUCAGUACCAGCUGG
rnacentral:piRNA from 1 species